UACAGAGGUCUCAAGCGUUGUUCGGAUUCAUUGGGCGUAAAGGGUGCGUAGGUGGCGCCGUAAGUCGGGUGUGAAAUUUCGGAGCUUAACUCCGAAACUGCAUUCGAUACUGCGGUGCUUGAGGACUGGAGAGGAGACUGGAAUUCAUGGUGUAGCAGUGAAAUGCGUAGAGAUCAUGAGGAACACCGGUGGCGAAGGCGGGUCUCUGGGCCGAUACUGACGCUGAGGAGCGAAAGCGUGGGGAGCGAACAGG
rnacentral:rRNA from 1 species